UCCUGUAUCGAAAGUGUCCAUGGCGUCCUUGUGGCCAGGUCAUUGAUAGUACAGGAAGAGGAAACUGCGAGCCUUUCCCGUGUCUGAAGGAUCACCUGUUCCUAUCAGACCCUGGCGCUCGCAUACA